AACGAACGCUGGCGGCAUGCCUAACACAUGCAAGUCGAACGAGACCUUCGGGUCUAGUGGCGCACGGGUGCGUAACGCGUGGGAAUCUGCCCUUGGGUUCGGAAUAACUCAGAGAAAUUUGAGCUAAUACCGGAUGAUGUCGUAAGACCAAAGAUUUAUCGCCCAAGGAUGAGCCCGCGUAGGAUUAGCUAGUUGGUGAGGUAAAGGCUCACCAAGGCGACGAUCCUUAGCUGGUCUGAGAGGAUGAUCAGCCACACUGGGACUGAGACACGGCCCAGACUCCUACGGGAGGCAGCAGUGGGGAAUAUUGGACAAUGGGCGAAAGCCUGAUUCAGCAAUGCCGCGUGAGUGAUGAAGGCCUUAGGGUUGUAAAGCUCUUUUACCCGGGAUGAUAAUGACAGUACCGGGAGAAUAAGCCCCGGCUAACUCCGUGCCAGCAGCCGCGGUAAUACGGAGGGGGCUAGCGUUGUUCGGAAUUACUGGGCGUAAAGCGCACGUAGGCGGCUUUGUAAGUUAGAGGUGAAAGCCUGGAGCUCAACUCCAGAAUAGCCUUUAAGACUGCAUCGCUUGAAUCCGGGAGAGGUGAGUGGAAUUCCGAGUGUAGAGGUGAAAUUCGUAGAUAUUCGGAAGAACACCAGUGGCGAAGGCGGCUCACUGGACCGGUAUUGACGCUGAGGUGCGAAAGCGUGGGGAGCAAACAGG
rnacentral:rRNA from 1 species